rfam:Glycine max cultivar Williams 82 chromosome 3, whole genome shotgun sequence.
AGAAUGCAAUGAUGAUUCAAUUAGAUGUAUGAAAGGAAAAAUCCUUUCUGAAUUCAAAAUUUUGAGUCAUAUCCAUUCAUAUAUCUGACUUGCCUAUA